UAUGACUUGAACAUGUUUUUAUGGUAGUGAAUAAUGAUAAUUACUCAAACCCAAGUUAAAAAUAUUUUUGAAUGGUUAUUAAUAUACUAUUGCAAAUAAUUUGAUUGUUAGCAACAUUGAUGCUACUGUUAAAACUAUGACUAUGGCGUCCUCUGUGGCGCCCCCUGGCAUAAACUAUAAGUUACAAAUUGGCACUUCGGUAUAUCCAACGUCAAACUCUUAUUUGAAGUGCUAGCUUGUGCUUGAAACGUGUUAAUCAUGAAACUUGAAAAUAUUGACCUUUUGAUCUGCGACUUUCCAAUAAUUUGGGAUAGAAAUAAUUUAUUCUAUGGAGACCAAUUUUUAACUGAAUUGGCUCGUAAAGAACUUUUGAAAGUAAUCAAAAAUGAAAAACCUCAUUAUAACAUAAACAUGGUAAACCAAAAAAUUAGAAAUUUCAAGGACCGUCUCCGUAGAUUAACGGUAUAUAUUUUCAUGUUUAUAUAUUUAUUUAUUUAUAUACUUGUUUUGACAAAACAUUUUAUCAUAAUGAUCUCUUAACUAUUAUCAUAAAAAUGUUUAAUUCUAAUACCAAAACAUUUCUUAUUACAGAAAAAACUAAUCGACAACAGACAACAUUUCCGGUAUAAAAUCCGAAUAAUCCAAUCGUCUCCGGGAUUCCCACACUACGCUACUAUCACCGUUGAAGAAAUUCAAGAUCAAAAUCAAAUUCCAUCACAGUUAGAAAAUUUACUAUUCGACAUCCCGGAGAAAGUGGUUGAAAACGAAGAACCUCCUUUUGACAUCAACGCCCUAAUCAAUGAAUCCGGAUUGCUGAAGGACGGAUGAUCAUACUUGAUCCUACCCUUUAUACACGUAAGGCGAUCGGGCAAGCUGAUUAUAUGUAAUUAGACCUCCUAAUUAUGUGACAACAGUUUCUAAAUGUUCCACCUAACUAGAGACCGAGUGUGGCUGAAAGCUGGCUCUUCAUUUUAUUAGAGCCACAAUACAACAUUCAGCGCCUCUGCACCCUACUUGCCAAAUAAAAACUCUAUUCUACUACUCUACUCUAGACUUGGUGAUAUUACGCUAAGCCACGCUACGUCGCUACACACACAUCGGUACAGUGAAGUCAAGAGGAGGAGAAUUUAAUAUUGAUGUUAAAAUAAUAUAUAGAAAUAAUGUAUAAUUUUUAGAAAAAUCCAAAUCAAAUCAACUCACAUUCCAGUUUUCUUACGGCAGCAAAAAUGUAGCCAAAGAGGCUACUUUCUAUAAUAAACUAUUUAUGUAUUUAAUCCUGGUCACGGCACCAAAAAUGUACCUAUCCCUUAUUUACUCUACUACUACUACUUAAUAAAACUACCAGAAUUGUUUGAAAAAGAUUAAAUUAAAAUAUAUAAAUUUGGCCAUGUGAUCGUCUAAUGUUAAAAAUACGUUGUGAACCUUAGUACCCAUCGUCUUUUAUGUGCAGAUUGAUUAGAUUUGGAUUUCAAAUACUAUCCCUAAAUAUUCUAUGUGUUUGUAAAUAUUGCUACUAUGUUACUUUUAUGACUAUAUUGUAUGAUAAAUAAAUAGUAAAAUAUAUUUUUUUGAAUUUAUCUCCUACCGGGCCCUACCGUGACCAGUUACCGUGGACAGUAGUAAGUCCUUUUAGUUUGUAAUUUAAACCUUAUAUUUUCCUUUUAUAUAUAUCCAUUCGCUAACCUAGCUAGCUAAAGGAAAAUAAUUAUAUUAAUGUAAUGUAAAAAUAGUACGUACAAACUUACUUUAUCUACUGCCACACCCGGAUGAAGACGGGUCCCUAAUCUAGAUAAUACCCAUUUUAUUUUAUUUUUAUUUUUAAUAGGUAUUCCUAUGCACUAUGUAAUAUUUAUUUUACCAGCGUUUCGUAACCUAAUUUCAGACGAGAAGAAACGCCAAGAAACUCAUCUGAAUAUACUUUAAAUGAAUGAAAUACUGAAA